UCGCCUACAUGAAGUUGGAAUCGCUAGUAAUCGCGAAUCAGAAUGUCGCGGUGAAUACGUUCCCGGGUCUUGUACACACCGCCCGUCACACCACGAGAGUUUACAACACCCGAAGUCAGUGGCCUAACCGCAAGGAGGGAGCUGCCUAAGGUGGGGUAGAUGAUUGGGGUGAAGUCGUAACAAGGUAAC
rnacentral:rRNA from 1 species